UAAAGGUGCAUGAGUGGUUUUUGGUUUGUUACGUGUGGUUGGCUGCGGCGCUUGCAACAACUUCCAUGCUUUCAUACCUCUUCAGUUAUGCGGCAAGGCUUGUAUCGUCUUGAGCGUGUUGUGGGUUUACUGUGUUGGUUACCAGAUCAACGGUAUCGGUUGGAUAGAUCAAAGUUUCAUUUCGCCUUGAUCCACCUUGUUAAAGGAAUGUUUUAACAUUGUGGCGUGAGGUGAACCCUGAUGCGAGAUCUCAAAGUCCCAUUUCGCCUUGAUCCACCUUGUUAGAAUGAAUUUUUUAACAUUGUGGCCUGAGGUGAACCAUGAUGCGGUCUCUUUGAUCCACCUUGUUAAAUGAAUUUUUUAACAUUGUGGCACAUCGAGCACUGCUUGGUCUCUUGCAUACAGAACAUAUAGUGGGCAUGGAUCUAUUGAUUCUUGUUUGCCCGCAUAUCAGCGUUCUCGCUUCUCUAAAACGACUUGUGCUAUGUGUUGGCUUGUCCAUCCGUAGUGCUACGUCGAAGAGGAAUGUUACCUGGUGAUCCGC
rnacentral:misc_RNA from 1 species